GAUGAACGCUAGCGGCAGGCUUAACACAUGCAAGUCGAGGGGUAGAGGUUGCUUGCAACCUUGAGACCGGCGCACGGGUGCGUAACGCGUAUGCAACCUACCUUUUACAGAGGGACAGCCCAGAGAAAUUUGGAUUAAUACCUCAUAGUAUAUAACCUUCGCAUGUUGGUUAUAUUAAAGUUUCAACGGUAAAAGAUGGGCAUGCGUCCUAUUAGCUAGAUGGUAAGGUAACGGCUUACCAUGGCAACGAUAGGUAGGGGUCCUGAGAGGGAGAUCCCCCACACUGGUACUGAGACACGGACCAGACUCCUACGGGAGGCAGCAGUGAGGAAUAUUGGACAAUGGGCGCAAGCCUGAUCCAGCCAUGCCGCGUGCAGGAAGAAGCAUCUAUGGUGUGUAAACUGCUUUUGUACAGGAAGAGACACCCCGACGUGUCGGGACUUGACGGUACUGUAAGAAUAAGGAUCGGCUAACUCCGUGCCAGCCGCCGCCGUAACAC
rnacentral:rRNA from 1 species